rnacentral:misc_RNA from 1 species
GAAUUUAUAAGUCGUUACGAAAGUACUCUCCACCCAAAUCAUUUUUACAACAUUGAUGUAACGAUUGCUCUGGCUCAAUUGAUUGGACAACAAACUGGAGGAUUAGCAGCAGUAGAAAAAGAUCUUCUCAUCGAGAAAAUAGAAUUAUGCAAAAAACUGGAUAAAUUGCUCAAGACACUCGUUCCUGCUGAAAAUCGAAUUCGAGGCCUGAUUCUUUUCGAAUUACAUGCAGCACACGC